rnacentral:rRNA from 1 species
AAAUUGAAGAGUUUGAUCAUGGCUCAGAUUGAACGCUGGCGGCAGGCCUAACACAUGCAAGUCGAACGGUAACAGGAAGCAGCUUGCUGCUUUGCUGACGAGUGGCGGACGGGUGAGUAAUGUCUGGGAAACUGCCUGAUGGAGGGGGAUAACUACUGGAAACGGUGGCUAAUACCGCAUAACGUCGCAAGACCAAAGAGGGGGACCUUCGGGCCUCUUGCCAUCAGAUGUGCCCAGAUGGGAUUAGCUUGUUGGUGAGGUAACGGCUCACCAAGGCGACGAUCCCUAGCUGGUCUGAGAGGAUGACCAGCCACACUGGAACUGAGACACGGUCCAGACUCCUACGGGAGGCAGCAGUGGGGAAUAUUGCACAAUGGGCGCAAGCCUGAUGCAGCCAUGCCGCGUGUAUGAAGAAGGCCUUCGGGUUGUAAAGUACUUUCAGCGGGGAGGAAGGUGUUGUGGUUAAUAACCACAGCAAUUGACGUUACCCGCAGAAGAAGCACCGGCUAACUCCGUGCCAGCAGCCGCGGUAAUACGGAGGAUGCAAGCGUUAAUCGGAAUUACUGGGCGUAAAGCGCACGCAGGCGGUCUGUCAAGUCGGAUGUGAAAUCCCCGGGCUCAACCUGGGAACUGCAUUCGAAACUGGCAGGCUUGAGUCUUGUAGAGGGGGGUAGAAUUCCAGGUGUAGCGGUGAAAUGCGUAGAGAUCUGGAGGAAUACCGGUGGCGAAGGCGGCCCCCUGGACAAAGACUGACGCUCAGGUGCGAAAGCGUGGGGAGCAAACAGGAUUAGAUACCCUGGUAGUCCACGCCGUAAACGAUGUCUACUUGGAGGUUGUGCCCUUGAGGCGUGGCUUCCGGAGCUAACGCGUUAAGUAGACCGCCUGGGGAGUACGGCCGCAAGGUUAAAACUCAAAUGAAUUGACGGGGGCCCGCACAAGCGGUGGAGCAUGUGGUUUAAUUCGAUGCAACGCGAAGAACCUUACCUGGUCUUGACAUCCACGGAACUUUCCAGAGAUGGAUUGGUGCCUUCGGGAACCGUG